rnacentral:lncRNA from 1 species
GCCCUUCCCCUUUCGCCUCUGAAGAAGUGACAGUGGGGUGGUAUUCGUUCCUCCGGGACUCCGACAUGAGCCACUGCUGGGGGCUGGGGGCCGCAGGCUGACCCCCAGAACUCACUCAGCAUCUCCAAACCUCAGUGCCAGAGACCGAUGCUCCAACGCCCAGCCUAGUGCUAGGGUCUAGUACCAACUGGCUCCAACUGUCUGGCCCCUACCACAGACUUUCUGCUCCAGACUCACUGGCUGGACGUGGUCUCACAUCGUCUUUUUCUGUCUCUGUACCUACGCACUCAUCUAGCACCCAGCGGGUCCCCUUAAAUGUCUGUGGAGUAAAAUAAAUAGACCAGGAACCCAUAGCUUCCAUUUGUGAAAUCCCGCACGGAAUAAAACCCAAACGUGGCUGUACCUGCAUGUGUUCUCAAUAAGCCACCAGUAGAAACCACAUGAUAAGAACUUAGUCCCCCAAGACAAACUGGAACUGACUCUCCAGUCUUCUUAAAACGAAUGGCCCCGAGCAAAACUACAACGGCAGAAUAUCCUCUCAGCCUGAGCCAGUAUUUCAGUUUGACUCUUGGCUUUAUUAGAAUGGAUGCAACGUCUCCAACCAAAACCAGAUGUACUUCCUGCUUCCUCUAGAGCAGGCUUCUGACUCAGGUCCAGUGGAGAUGGGAUCACCAUGUUCCAGGACUCCAGAUGCCGGGCCGCUGCUGUGUGCUGGGCAGUGUUUCUCAGCUGGGAGGGACCGAGUGCUAACAAGACCAGAGCUUCACACACUAGGGCAGGGCUGCCCCAACUCACAGAGAGUGUCAGUGUUGGACUUACGGAGGCAUCCACGCACACAGUCACUCAACACUGGAGGAAGGUGUCCACCUGUGAAUGCUGACCUUCUGUUUGUGUGUGCAUCUGUGUUCUGGCAUUUCUUUAUUUAAAAAAAACAAACCAGCAGAAUCUAUGAAACUGGAAGUGGCCUAUGUGUCUUUUGUCUUC